GCACGGGUGCGUAACGCGUAUGCAAUCUACCUUUUACAGAGGGAUAGCCCAGAGAAAUUUGGAUUAAUACCUCAUAGUAUUAUUGAAUGGCAUCAUUUAAUAAUUAAAGUCACAACGGUAAAAGAUGAGCAUGCGUCCCAUUAGCUAGUUGGUAAGGUAACGGCUUACCAAGGCAACGAUGGGUAGGGGUCCUGAGAGGGAGAUCCCCCACACUGGUACUGAGACACGGACCAGACUCCUACGGGAGGCAGCAGUGAGGAAUAUUGGUCAAUGGGCGCAAGCCUGAACCAGCCAUGCCGCGUGCAGGAUGAAGCAUCUAUGGUGUGUAAACUGCUUUUGUACGAGAAGAAACACUCCUACGUGUAGGAGCUUGACGGUAUCGUAAGAAUAAGGACCGGCUAACUCCGUGCCAGCAGCCGCGGUAAUACGGAGGGUCCAAGCGUUAUCCGGAAUCAUUGGGUUUAAAGGGUCCGUAGGCGGUUUUGUAAGUCAGUGGUGAAAGCCCAUCGCUCAACGGUGGAACGGCCAUUGAUACUGCAAGACUUGAAUUAUUGGGAAGUAACUAGAAUAUGUAGUGUAGCGGUGAAAUGCUUAGAGAUUACAUGGAAUACCAAUUGCGAAGGCAGGUUACUACCAAUAUAUUGACGCUGAUGGACGAAAGCGUGGGGAGCGAACAGGAUUAGAUACCCUGGUAGUCCACGCCGUAAACGAUGGAUACUAGCUGUUCGGAGCAAUCUGAGUGGCUAAGCGAAAGUGAUAAGUAUCCCACCUGGGGAGUACGUUCGCAA
rnacentral:rRNA from 1 species